UACGUAGGUGGCGAGCGUUGUCCGGAUUUACUGGGCGUAAAGGGAGCGUUGGCGGAUUUUUAAGUGAGAUGUGAAAUACUCGGGCUCAACUUGAGUGCUGCAUUUCAAACUGGAAGUCUAGAGUGCAGGAGAGGAGAAUGGAAUUCCUAGUGUAGCGGUGAAAUGCGUAGAGAUUAGGAAGAACACCAGUGGCGAAGGCGAUUCUCUGGACUGUAACUGACGCUGAGGCUCGAAAGCGUGGGGAGCAAACAGG
rnacentral:rRNA from 1 species